GCUGUAUUAAUGCUUGUGACGCUAUUGUACAGCUCUGCUGAUAUCAUCGUCUUUAACAGCAGUGUUUUCUCCCAGGUCUUCUUCAAGCCAGUUAAGAAAGGAAGAACAGCUUAGACACUCAGGCAGCUGAACUCACCAAAGGUGGACAUCAUGCAGCCCCCCUGAGCCUUGAGCCUCUCUGUGUGAGGAAGCUUUGCUGCUGCAGACCUGGUGAAGUUGCUCUGGACAGAAAUAUUUUUUGCUCUGCUGCAGUGCUGAAGGUAUUCAUUGUAAUGAUGUGUGUAUUUAUUCAAUAUGUUUAGUUUCACAGAUUAUCAACACAAAUGUUUCUGUUUAUUUCCUGUUUUCAACCAGCUACAUUCUCCUACUUCAAGUCACUGUCUGUUCAUCCACGGUGUAGCUAGUGCAGCUAACUAAUGGUGAUCCUACAAGUCCUGCAGUCCUGUGAAGCAAGCUGCAGCAGAUGUCAUCACAUUCAGAUCAUCAGUUCAUCUCUACUGCAGCUUUAAACUGUCCCUGAGGUAACGGUGUAUUUCCUUGCCCCAUAACAAUAACCAUGUUUGACAAACAUAGAAAAGCACAGUAUUACUGUUAGCACAGGAUUUUUGUAUUGAUUACAGAGUUAAAGUGAAGGGGAUUUUUUUUUUUUUUUCAGACCUCUCUUCCUCCUGCCUCUGACUCCAGUGAUGCUGUCAACUCGAACACUGAUAACUGCACACGGCGAUUCUACAACCACAGGUCAAAGGUCAAAACAUUACCUUCACUCUGAACUGUACCGGCCUCUGCUUUUGGUUUUGAAAAAA
rnacentral:lncRNA from 1 species